UGCCAAUCUGCUUCCUUUUUGACUUUCCUAGGCUCGGAUUCAUCAGAUUCUCUACUUGCGUCAUUUGCAAUGGAAAGACCCUCCCACAAGCAAAACCAUAUUCCUGCUGCUGUCAGUUAUGAUGCACUGAGAAAACUUCAGAGACCUAAACUUUUUCCAGAGAAGAGAAGCUUUACUGGUGUUCCAGCCCUAAGAAACUUAAAUCCUCAGUGUGACACAACUCAGUCCUUCUACUGCAGCA
rnacentral:lncRNA from 1 species